CGCACGGGUGCGUAACGCGUAUGCAAUCUACCUUUCACAGAGGGAUAGCCCAGAGAAAUUUGGAUUAAUACCUCAUAGUAUUACGAAAUGGCAUCAUUUUGUAAUUAAAGUCACAACGGUGAAAGAUGAGCAUGCGUCCCAUUAGCUAGUUGGUAAGGUAACGGCUUACCAAGGCUACGAUGGGUAGGGGUCCUGAGAGGGAGAUCCCCCACACUGGUACUGAGACACGGACCAGACUCCUACGGGAGGCAGCAGUGAGGAAUAUUGGACAAUGGGCGCAAGCCUGAUCCAGCCAUGCCGCGUGCAGGAUGACGGUCCUAUGGAUUGUAAACUGCUUUUGCACAGGAAGAAACAUCCCGACGUGUCGGGACUUGACGGUACUGUGAGAAUAAGGAUCGGCUAACUCCGUGCCAGCAGCCGCGGUAAUACGGAGGAUCCAAGCGUUAUCCGGAAUCAUUGGGUUUAAAGGGUCCGUAGGCGGUUUAGUAAGUCAGUGUGGCAAGCCCAUCGCUCAACGGUGGAACGGCCAUUGAUACUGCUAGACUUGAAUUAUUAGGAAGUAACUAGAAUAUGUAGUGUAGCGGUGAAAUGCUUAGAGAUUACAUGGAAUACCAAUUGCGAAGGCAGGUUACUACUAAUGGAUUGACGCUGAUGGACGAAAGCGUGGGUAGCGAACAGGAUUAGAUACCCUGGUAGUCCACGCCGUAAACGAUGGAUACUAGCUGUUGGGAGCAAUCUCAGUGGCUAAGCGAAAGUGAUAAGUAUCCCACCUGGGGAGUACGUUCGCAAGAAUGAAACUCAAAGGAAUUGACGGGGGCCCGCACAAGCGGUGGAGCAUGUGGU
rnacentral:rRNA from 1 species